AAAAUGUGUUGCAUCAUUAAUUGCAACUCUGACGGCAGAAGGGUGAAACUCGAGAAACACUUUGAAUUUAUUUAUAUUUAUCACAAUAUUAAAUCUUAUUUAUGUAUGUUUUCGUACAUUGUGAUGGCAAUUUCUAAAAUCCAACUAAUUCUAUGACAAUGGUAGGUAAGACAGGAGAAAUCAAUUGCGCAAUAAACGGUUUUAAUCUUGCUUGCAAGGAGAAAGUAUACAGGUUACAAAGUAACGGUGGAUAGUUUCUAAAUAAAAACAUCAUUUCGACAGUAUUUAUUACAUAGGAAAAAGGGGUGUGGUAAGAUGCUGCCAUCCGUUUCAUGUCAAUCAAACACCUUUCCCUUUGUUCUAUCACACACGUCAAAUGCUAUCUUCCCCCACCUUAUCCUUCCUGCCAUAAUGUUUACUGUAGUGUUUACCCAAAGGGGCCAACUGGCCUUACUGCCCCCUGUUGUAUCUUCUCCUAUCCUGUCCUAAAACCCAUUGAUCUCCAUCUGGACAGACAAUAGAUGCCCCCAAUGCAAAUACCAGGUCCCACACAUUCCUGUACCUAUCUUAACAGUGGGACUCAAUCCUUUACUCAGUGAGAAUACAUUGUAUAUAGAAAUUUCCACAACAACAUUCAGCUGUUGGACAAGUAAAAAAAGUCUGUCUUACUCGCCCAAAGGACAAAAUGUAUGUCCCCAGCUUUAUUAUGUCUCAUAUCGCUGGCUGGAAACCUCAAUCAAAAACCCACUGUCCCCUUUCAUGCAUGAGAAACAGUCAAAGUUUUCAUUUAUCACUUUAGACUUGACCUAUAAUGCAAUUCAUACAUGGGUGGGGUUAAUACUCAGGUUUGUAUACAUAGAAACUUAUAAAAUGGGUGCGGUUUAUACAUGGGGAAUUACAGUAAUAUUUUGCAGUGUGUCAUGUCAAUUCUCUGCAGUCCAGACCAAGCAAAAUCUCAUGGCCCAACCAUGUCUCUAAAAAAACUGUAACAUGCUUUGUUUGCACAUCAGUCCAUAUACCGUAGUGUCUGAUGUAUGACCACAUACCUACAACCACAUCCACAAUAGCACAUCCAAAGGAAAACAUAAAACAGGUAUCAGCAAACACACAAUUUCUGUACGAACAGAAGCAAAACAUAUCUCACGGCUGAACACUUACAACAUCCAGUAUCCUCCCUGAAAUUAUUGACUGAGAAACUACAUUCAGGAGACAUUUUUAAAGACCAUUCUACUCUAAAAUUAGCAUACAAAAAUCAAUAAAUCAAUCACAUUUAUUUAUAAAGCCCUUUUUACAACCGCAGUUGUCACAAAGUGCUUUACAGAGACACCCGGCCUUAAACCACAAGGAGCAAACAAGAGUAGUGUUGAAUUUCAGUGGCUAGGAAAAACUCCCUAAGAAGGUCGAAUUUUAGGAAGAAACCUAGAGAGGACCCAGGCUCAGAGGGGUGACCAGUCCUCUUCUGGCUGUGCCGGGUGAGAUAUUAAGAGUCCAAUUGGAAUAAUAAAUACAUUUCUCUGGGCUAAAUCCAGAGUCUAUUUGAUUUUAGACUAGGUCAGAAGUAUGACCAGCGGACAAGGACAGGUACAGCAACGGGCCCCCCAAACCAGGUAAUCUGCAGGUGUGGAUCAGGACCUCAUCUCCUCCUAAAAUAUAAAACUGGAGAAGACUGAGAAAAGUUAGUAGUGCAUUCCUCAUAUCCCCCAGCACAAUAAUAUAGCAGCGUAACACCUUGGAACUGAGAUGGGGGGGUCCGGUGAUACUGUGGCCCUACCCGGGGGAGGCCCCGGACAGGGCCCAACAGGCAGGAAAUCCAUCCACCCACAUAAAUAAUUCUGAAACCUUGAGGUUAUGCUACAAUCAUGUGAUUUUAUUUCCUAAUCCAGUAAUUAGCCUAAAAAGAUAUUGGCAAACAUGAUUUUAACCUAUUGGAUAAUACAUAUAGUGUUCUCUAAUAUCAACAAUUAUUAAGUGAGGGUUAUUAACUGAUGGUUUGUGUUGCCUUGAAUGUAGCCAACCCAUUCCCCAUUAUCGUUUGCACCUGUGUCUCGUUCAUUCCCUAUAUAAGUGCGCUUGGAUCCAUCCCUCCAUCCCGUAUGCAAUCAUUACAAUUUACUGUCAGGGUUCCCGUGGUGUCUUAAAAAAUCUUAAAACAUCAAAAAUUCUCCAUCCAUCCAUAUUCUUCCGCUUAUCCGGGGCCGGGUCGCGGGGGCAGAAGUCUAAGCAGAGAUGCUCAUACUUCCCUCUCCCUAGACACUUCCUCUUCCGGGGGGACACCGAGGCGUUCCCAGGCCAGCCGGGAGACAUAGUCCCUCCAGCGUGUCCUAGGUCUUCCCCGGGGUCUCACGAGGGACACAGUCGAAUGCCUUCUCCAAAUCCACAAAACACAUGUGGAUUGGUUGGGCAAACUCCCAUGAACCCUCCAGCACCCUGUAGAGGGUAUAGAGCUGGUCCAGUCUUCCACGGCCCGGACGAAAACCAUACUGUUCCUCCUGAAUCCGUGGUUCUACUAUCGGCCGUAUUCUCCUCUCCAGUACCCUGGCAUAGACUUUCCCGGGGAGGCUAAGAAGUGUGAUCCCCCUGUAGUUGUAACACACCCUCCGGUCCCCGUUCUUAAAAAGAGGGACCACCACCCCGGUCUGCCAUCCCAGAGGCACUGUCCCCGACCGCCAUGCGAUGCUGCAGAGGCGUGUCACCCAAGACAGCCCCACAGCAUCCAUAGACUUGAGGUACUCUGGGCGGAAUUCAUCCACCCCCAAUGCCUUGCCACCGAGGAGUUUCUUGACUACCUCAGUGAAUUCAGCCCGGGUGAUGGACGAGUCCACCUCUGAGCCCUCAGCCUCUGCUUCCUCAAUGGAAGACAUGACGGCGGGAUUGAAGUAUUCCUUCCACCGCCCGACAACAUCCCCAGUUGAGGUCAACAGCUGCCCACCUCCACUGUAAACAGCGUUGGUAGGGCACUGUUUCCCUCUCCUGAGGCGCCGGACGGUUUGCCAGAAUCUCUUCGAGGCCAUCCGAUAGUCCUUCUCCAUGGCCUCACCGAACUCCUCCCUGACCCGAACUCCUCAGCGAACUUGCCUCCACAACCACCCGGGCUGCAGUCCGCUUGGCCUGCCGGUACCCGUCAGCUGCCUCAGGAGUCCCACAAGCCAACCAUAGGACUCCUUCUUCAGCUUGACGGCAUCCCUUACUUCCGGUGUCCACCACCGGGUUCGGGGAUUGCCGCCUCAAUAGGCACCGGAGACCUUACAGCCACAGCUCCGAGCGGCCGCUUCGACAAUGGAGGUGUCUCCAGCCUCCAUCGGGAUCCAGUCGAAGCUCUGCCGGAGGUGGGAGUUAAAGAUCUCUCUGACAGGAGACUCGGCCAGACGUUCCCAGCAGACCCUUACAGUACGCUUGGGUCUGCCGAGUCUGUCCAGCUUCCUCCCCCGCCAUUGGAUCCAACUCACCACCAGGUGGUGAUCAGUUGACAGCUCCGCCCCUCUUUUCACCCAAGUGUCCAAGACAUACGGCCGCAGGUCAGAUGAAACGACAACAAAGUUGAUCAUCGACCUACGGCCUCGGGUGUCCUGGUGCCACAUGCACUGAUGGACACCCUUAUGCUUGAACAUGGUGUUCGUUAUGGACAAACUGUGACUAGCACAGAAGUCCAAUAACUGAACACCACUCGGGUUCAGAUCAGGGGGGCCGUUCCUCCCCAUCACGCACCUCCAGGUGUCACUGUCGUUGCCCACGUGGGCGUUGAAGUCCCCCAGUAGAACGAUAGAGAACCCAGUCGGAGCACUUUCCAGCACCCCUCCCAGAGACUCCAAGAAGGUCGGGUAUUGGGCACUGCCGUUCGGCCCGUAGGCACAAAUUACAGUGAGAGACAUAUCCCGACCCGUAGCCGCAGGGAAACGACCCUCUCGUUCUCCGGGGUAAACUCCAACACAUGGUGGCAGGGCUGGGGGGCUAUAAGCAAACCCACACCAGCCCGCCGCCUCUCACCAUGGGCAACUCCAGAGUGGUGAAGAGUCCAUCCUCUCUCAAGGAGUGUGGUUCCAGAGCCCAAGCCGUGCGUAGAGGUGAUCCCGACUAUCUCUAGUCGGAAUCUCUCAACUUUACGCACAAUCUCAGGCUCCUUCCCCGCCAGCGAGGUGACGUUCCACGUCCCUAGAACUAGUUUCCAUGUCCAGGGAUCGGAUUGUCGAGGCCCCCGCCUUCGAGUGCCGCCCGAUCCUCUACGCACCGACCCCUUAUGGUCCCUCCUGCAGGUGGUGAGCCCACGGGAAGGCGGCCCCACGUCGCUCCUUCGGGCUGAGCCCGGCCGGACCCCGUGGCUGCGCCAUACCGGGCGACAUCAUGGUCCUAAAAAUGGUUUCCAUCAUUAAAGGGUUUUUGAACCGCUAUUAGUCUGACCUGUUUGCCCUGGGAGACCCUACCAGGGGCAUAUAGCUCCUAGGGUCACUCGGGUACUCAAACCCCUCCACCACGUUAAGGUGGCAGUUCAUGGAGAGGCGUAAAAAAUUCUGAAAUUUAAAUGUAAGGCCUUAAAAAGUCUUAAAAACGGCCAGAUUUUCAUCUGAGAUCUUAAAUUUAAUUUAGUCAUUUCUACAAAAGUUUUACACUCAUUCAUUUCCAGAAACAGAAAGAAAAAAUAUUGAGUCGUAGCCUACAAAGCGAAGCACAGGCCGUCUAUAUCAGCAGUGAUUGUGAGUGCAUGUUUGGAGAAUAGCGCAGACACACGCUUCACACCGCGAGCGGGCACGCGCGCCACCUGGUGGAAAGGAGAGAAAGAAAAAGGAGACGCUUUCUCAAGUAUCCGUUGUAGUUCUUUCUGGUUGGUACGUACACGGUGAUAAAACUACAAAUCCCGUGAUAAAUGCAAUACUUGCCCAUGAAAUACAUCUGUGUGUCUCCUCAGAGCAGUGUUGCCAACUUAGUGACUUUUCAGACCCCCUUAGCGACUUUUUUUCAAAAAAGUGACUAGCGACAGCGACUUUUUGUGGUGUUAUUGGAGACUUGUUCUUACACUUUUCAACGAGCAGCGGGUGCCGCCGUGGGCCCUUCCCCCAUCUGAAUGCACUCACAGGCGGCCCAGUUCUCGCACAGCAGCUGCAGUCAGAGCAGGAGAUGUUAACUCUUCCGCGUCCAGACUAAAAAUGAAUCGUGCAUUGUGCUCUGCCAGUGUCUCUUUUGGGUAACUUUUGCCGGUCCCAAGCCCCGAUAAAGGAGGAGGGUUGGUAAAAAAAUUAAAAAGAAUCGACAGAAGUUAAUUUAUAGUUCUAAACAUAUUUAGGGUGUUUUUACUAACUUUUUGUCUCUCCUAUGACGUUAUUCCUCUCUUACUGGCAGCGUCCAUCACGUGCAGUUGGUGCAGUUCUCUUAAUCCAUGACGAUAUCUCCCCUUGUGCGUCGCUCUAAAUGUAAAAAAAAAUUCUAGCCUUUUGAUUUGUUCUUUGUUUUUUUGCUCAGGUGAUUAUUUGGAAAUACACAUGUCAGUCUUCUUACCCCAACAAGAGUUUUGUAUGUUAAAAAAGAAAAUCCAUUAAUGAUGCUGAUGGGAAAUUAUGCAAAUUAGGCGAUGAUGACAUUUAGCGACUUUUAGGACAGCCAAUAGCGACUUUCCUUACUGAGGAGUUGGCAACACUGCCUCAGAGUUUGUUAAAGUUCGACUAGGCCUAUGUGUGGAAAACAUGGUGGAAAAUGGGAAAGUGUACUUUUAACGAGGCAUGGCCAGAUCACAGCGAUUUCCGCUGUUGGUUACAAGCGGUACCCAGCUCCAGGUACGAGGCUCGCUGCAAACAUUGUAAAAAGACUAUUCAAUUUGGGACUCUGGGUGUGAAGGCCCUGGAGUCACAGAGCCUAGAAGCACAAGCUAGCCGCAAAAUGCCUUCAGUAGACUUUGCCGAUUAGCCAGUUUAGUGCCUCACCCCUGCCGUCGUCCUCCUCAAUGCCUGGUCCCUCCGGUCUCCAGCAGCGCAAUAUCAUUGCAGCUCUGUCGAAUGACCUUCAGGGUACUUUUGGAUCGACUGACACAUCGAAAUCCGAGGUGCUUUGGAUACUGCACACGGUGGCUAAACAUCACUCAUUUAAUAGCAACGGUGAGAUUAACGAUCUCUUCCAAGUGAUGUUCCCUGAUUCAGUAAUCGCCAAGACGUUCUUUUGCGGGCCCAACAAGAUGGCUUAUGUGGCGAGAUUUGGAUUGGGGGAGUUUAUAAAAAGGGAAUUGAUUCAUACUCUUACCGGGCCAUAUGUUGUAAUGUUCGACAAAAGUCUAAAUCAGACCACCAUGACCAAGCAGCUUGACAUCCACGUUCGUUUCUGGAACAAUGGAAUUGUUAAAAUGAGGUACCUGGGCUCACAGUUCAUGGGACAGCACAGGACCUACUGAAACAUGUCAAAGUAAGUGAAAGUUAAAUGGAAUAUUCUUUCACUUAUCAAUUUUGGGACUAAGGAAACAAUGCAUGUAGAAAGUGAUGUCUGUCUACACAUUUGAAGCAGUAGCCUACAUAGAAAAAGUAACCUAACAUUGUAUAUGGUUUCAUUGAUUUAUCAGAUUAGAUUAGCCGUUAUUGUCUCAAACAAAAAUUCAGCAAUUGAGAGAUAGGGAAUGUAGGUUUACAUACAGUUUAGGCCACAUUAGCAGUCAUUGUUCUACAAAGAUAACAUGAAGAAAGGCUUGUAGUCAAACAUGUAGAUAAUUAAAUGUACUGUGUGUGUGUGUGUGUGUGUCAUUGCUUUAAUGAUGUAUAUCUGUAUAGUUAUUUCUCCUUAUUUUAAAUACAUAAGGAGUCUUUGAACCAAUUGUAGCACAGCAGGUUGAUGUCAGUCUCCAUGGAUGGGCCUAAUGUGAACUUCAAGUUUUUAGAGCUCCUCCAGCUUGACCAUGCGGAGAACUAUGGGGGUGCACAGGGCUGGCUUUUCGGUGUGGCAUGUGGACAAGAUAUUAAAGGCAAUGCACACAUUAUUCCACCAUGUUCCAGCAAGGAGGGAUGACUACGUAAGAGUCACCAAAUCCACAGUGUUCCCUCAGCCAUUCUGCGGCCAUCAGUGGCUGGAAAAUCUUCCAGUUGUUGAGAGGGCUCUGGCGGUUUGGCCAUCUCUCAAGCUAUACCUGGAUGCUGUGCACAGAAAAGAGCUGCCAAUCCCCUAGACGGCAUCAUUUGACACCAUUGAAGCAGCCCACAACGAUCCUUUAACAAUAACGAAGAUGCACUUCUUCAUGACAGUGGCCAGGACCUUUGAACCAUUCAUGAAGAAGUACCAAACAGAUGAACCUGUGAUGCCUUUCUUUGGCAAUGACUUGGCUGAGUUGGUUAAGAGUCUACUGAGGCGCUUUGUUAAAAGAGAGGUCCUGCAAGACAUCACUGCCCUUCAGCUUACCACACUGGACCUGUCUGACAAGAACAUGCUCCUCCUCCCACAGAGGGUUGACAUUGGCUUGGGUGCUGAGGCAGCUCUCAAGGUAUUGUCAUGAUUCUUCUUAAGGUUUUGGAAAUAAUGAUCAAUAUGCAGGCAGCAAGUGUCAUUUCGUUUAACAUAAUCCAAACAUGUUAGUUGUAGAGUGUGCAACAGGAAGAAACUUUGCUUUUUGGCUAAUACACUGAGGAGUAAUAUCACCUCAUUGCAUCUUAAUUGCCCAAUCAUGUGUACUUUUUAAAUUAAACUUUUUUUGAUACUACUGACAUGUAUUUUUUAUUCCCCUGUCCAGAACAGUAAAAGUUCAGAGCUAAGGGUCCUUGAGUUUAGGAGGGAUUGCAUGCCGGGACUCUCAAACAUUGUGAGGAAAGUUCAGGAGAAGAGCCCCUUGAAAUAUGCAACAGUUAGGCAGAUGGAGUGUCUGGACCCAUCUCUCAUGUUCAGGGACCCAGACAAAAGCAAUACUCAAAUGAAAUGUCUCAUACAGACAUUUCUGAAGGACAAGCAGCUGACAGGAGGUGUAUCUGCUGGUAGGAGUAGAUUUGCAAGGGGUUAUGAACCAAAGUUUGAGUACCAUGCUCAACUAUACUCUGAAUAUUUAGAAGACUGUGUUUCGAGCAUUCAAGAUUUCAAGAUGUAGCAAUUCAAGAUUUACUUCGUCAUUUUUAUGUGUACUUCCUUACAUACAAAAAAUGAAAUAUUGUUCCCCCAGCUUGUGUCAAUAUAAAACAAGGAAUAAAAACACAUAAAAUACAGCAUAUAGUAUAUAUAGGAGGAGCUUGGAGCUUGAGCACCGAGUAUUAAAGUGCAGUGAAGAGUAGCAGCUUGUGCAGAAUAGCAGCACAGUAUGUAAAGUGCAAGUGCAAUGCAGUCAUUUGUUUAGUCCAAACAAAGUGCAGUUCAGGCAGGUAGCUGCACAGUAGGGAAGCAUGGCAGUGGGAGGGGGCACAGUCUCUAUGUUGCAGACAUUUGGUCCCCCAUUUGGCAUCUUGCUUUUGUUAUUCCCUCUUCUUAUGGUUCUGCACCUAUUCUGUGUGCAGUGGCUCAUAUUAAUUGAAUAAAUCCCAUCAUUUUACACAGGCGUUUGUUGUUAUUGAAGACCUUACAUAGGUUAAGAGUCGGUUUGAGUCUUGAGUGCUAUGAUUUAUCUAUAUGCAUAUUUGACUUUUUUUAUCACUCACUUUGUUUUAGGGCAUACCAUUGUCAAACAGUUUGAGUCUUUCCUGUCCGUUGAGGCAAGGAACGAAGAACUUCUCACCUUCCAGCCAUUUGAGAACCGACUAGACACCUUCCUGCAUGAGAGGUUAAGCCAUCGCUAUCCUGCUGCUUGGGAUUUUUGCAUGGGCAGGCAUCCGUUGAAAGGGGAUUUUCGGUCAACAAGGAGGUGGAGAUUGAAAAUAUGCAUGAGGAGACCACUGUCUCACCGGUGUGACAAAGGUUCCCUCUUACCAGAGAGCUCCUAACAUGUGUGGGUGCAGCCCAGUCAAGGUACUGCAUCUUUCCUGAUCAGGAGCGUACCAGGAAAGAAUUGGAAAUGCAGAGCCAGAAGAGAAAGUUGGCAGAGGAUGGUUUAGAGCAACUAAAAAGAGGAAGACCAGUUAAAAGAGGUGUCCAACUGUCUUGUUAGGGAGGCAGACAUGCUUGCCGAGGAAGCUGAGGGAAAAGCUGGUUCAAAGAGCUCCUAUCCAAGUCAAAUGCCCUUAGAAGGGCAUACAAAGACAAAAUGGCUGAACUCAAAAACAUUGAGGCUGAGAUUGGUGCUAAAGGGGAGGAAUUUAGGCAUAUGUAAUCUCUCUCACUCACUCACACUCUCUCUCUCUCACACACACACACACACAUCAGAUCAUCCAUGUUAUGCUGCGUUCCAGGCACAGAAAGUUACGACUUACUGUGCCUGAAGCCGUAAGUUACAACUUCAAGUCACGACUUGGUAGCGUUCCAGGCAAAGUGGCUAGCGUUGACGUUAGCUAGCGCUAGCUGAAACUAGCGAUUUCUAGUCGGCGACAUAUUUUGGGCUUCAUUUAAUAAACAUAACCUGUAGUAGUACACAAAUUUAUGUGUAUUAAUUCCAAUGUGUGGAAUUAACUUUACGUUGCCUAUUUAUGUAUAUUUAUUUCUAUUUCUCACGGUGUCUGUACAGCAUCAACAGGGGUCGCCAUUGUUGUUUAUGUGUGUGUGACGUCAAAACUUUAACUGGGAGUACAACGAUCUGGUACGCGUUCACGAGUAGUAAGUUAAGGGUUAUGGUGUUUUUUAAUGUAAAUAAAUAUGAGAGUGCAAGUAAACUCUAUUUGAGUGCAAGUUUGUUUUAGCCCAUUUUCAUUUUGGGCUUGAAGGUUUUGGGUAUUUGGCACGUUGUUGGUUAUGAAAGGUUACUAAUGUGAUUGCUUCUGUAACUUUAAUUAAUGCUUUUUCAAUGAAUUCAUUGAAAUAAAAGGAUUUCUUUAGAAUUUCUUUGAUUUGAAUAUUUGUUUGGUAGGUCUUAAAUUUCAAACUUUAUGAUCUUAAAAUGUCUUAAAAAGGUCUUAAAUUUGACUUACUAAAACCUGCAAUUACCCUGUACUGUGAGUAGCGUAAUGACUUCCCUGAAAAAGAAAUCCAUAAUGCCACAUCCAAUUUAAUGGAACACAUGGAAACGGGGGGAAAACGUCAUUGAACAAUGUGAGCACCACUACCCUACAAUUCAUUGGUUAAAUCACUGUGCAUGUCUGUUAACACUAUAAUAAUAGAAGCUGAACCC
ensembl:lncRNA